rnacentral:rRNA from 1 species
AUGGAGGCGUACCAGAAAGUGCAGGAGUUCGACUUGUCCAGCGGCGCUGAUUGGAAGACGACCGCCAACGUCCUCUUCACGGUGCCCCCAAGCACAAGGAGUUCGGGAACCGGGCUUGGUGGCCAAUGGGGCCAGGAAGGUCCCAGAUCGGAGGUCCCUGCUUGCCAACUCGCAGUUAGUUUGCAUGAUACAAUAAAUCUGCUUGCAAGGCUCUGGAUGAUAUAUCCAUUUUCAUCAAUUGCUCAAGGGUGUGAGGAUGGCGAAGGAGGUGCAGGGAGCUGA